rfam:Penicillium subrubescens strain CBS 132785 PENSTBscaffold_719, whole genome shotgun sequence.
GGUGCUGUGGUCCAGUUGGUCAAGACGCUUCGUUGUGGAGCAAUAUUCGUAUUCCGAAGUAGCCCCGGUUCGAAUCCGGGCAGCGCCA